rnacentral:rRNA from 1 species
GACGAACGCUGGCGGCGUGCUUAACACAUGCAAGUCGAACGGAAAGGCCCUGCUUGCAGGGUACUCGAGUGGCGAACGGGUGAGUAACACGUGGGUGAUCUGCUCUGCACGUCGGGAUAAGCCUGGGAAACUGGGUCUAAUAACGGCAAGGAGCCAUCGGUAGUGAGAUGGUUGGAAAGUUUUUUCGGUGUAGGAUGAGCUCGCGGCCUAGCGGCUUGUUGUUGGGGUAAUGGCCUACCAAGGCGGCGACGGGAAGCCGGCCUGUGAGGGUGGACGGCGACAUUGGGACUGAGGUACGGCCCAGACUCCUACGGGUGGCAGCAGUGGGGAAUAUUGCACAAUGGGCGCAAGGCUGAUGCAGCGAGGCCGCGUGGGGGAUGACAGCCUUCGGGUUGUAAACUCCUUUCGCUAGGGACGGAGCGUUUUGUGACGGUACCUAGAUAAGAAGCACCGGCUAACUACGUG